rnacentral:snRNA from 1 species
CGACGGGAUUAAGAGCCGCCGCAACAA